rnacentral:lncRNA from 1 species
AGCUCCAACUCAUACUUUAUUGCAUAUUGACGCAUAUCAAUCCUGAAUUAUUUCAUGUUAGGAAACAAACAACCUAGCUACAUAGAAGGAUUCAUCCUAUCGUACACCACCCUCUUCUGAUCUGGAAGAAAGUCUUCACAUGGCUGAUCAACAUGGUGGUCAUCCUUGUCAAUAUCCCUAAUUUCUUGCACAUUACAAGUUGAACCAUAUCUAUAAAAUUCAUCUCUUCUACUGUUCUCAGCCUCGACCUCUUUAUUGAGUCCAAUAUUACAAUAUAUCUCAUUUUCACAUGGUACUUCUACUCUUCCUUCUUUCUCUAGAACAUCAGAAACUACCAUAGAAUCCCAAUCAAAUUGUGUUGUUGCCUCCGUCC